GACGAACGCUGGCGGCGUGCUUAACACAUGCAAGUCGAACGGUAAGGCCCUUCGGGGUACACGAGUGGCGAACGGGUGAGUAACACGUGGGUGAUCUGCCCUGCACUUCGGGGUAAGCCUGGGAAACUGGGUCUAAUACCGGAUAGGACCACUGCCUGCAAGGGGGGUGGUGGCAUGCUUUUGCGGUGUGGGAUGGGCCCGCGGGCUAUCAGCUUGUUGGUGGGGUGAUGGCCUACCGAGGCGACGACGGGUAGCCGGCCUGAGAGGGGGACCGGCCACACUGGGACUGAGAUACGGCCCAGACGCCUACGGGAGGCAGCAGUGGGGAAUAUUGCACAAUGGGCGCAAGCCUGAUGCAGCGACGCCGCGUGAGGGAUGACGGCCUUCGGGUUGUAAACCUCUUUCAGCACCGACGAAGCGCAAGUGACGGUAGGUGCAGAAGAAGGACCGGCCAACUACGUGCCAGCCGCCGCAGUAAAAC
rnacentral:rRNA from 1 species